GUGUCAGCAGCCGCGGUAAUACGUAGGGGGCAAGCGUUGUCCGGAUUUAUUGGGCGUAAAGAGCGUGUAGGCGGCCUGACAGGUCCGUUGUGAAAACUGGAGGCUCAACCUCCAGCUGUCGAUGGAAACCGUCAGGCUAGAGUCCGGAAGAGGAGGGUGGAAUUCCCGGUGUAGCGGUCAAAUGCGCAGAUAUCGGGAAGAACACCCGUGGCGAAGGCGGCUCUCUGGGACGGUACUGACGCGGAGACGCGAAAGCGUGGGGAGCGAACAGGAGUAGAUACCCUGGUAGUCCACGCCGUAAACGAUGGGUGCUAGGUGUGGGCGGUGUCGACUCCGUCCGUGCCGAAGCUAACGCAUUAAGCACCCCGCCUGGGGAGUACGGCCGCAAGGCUAAAACUUAAAGGAAUUGACGGGG
rnacentral:rRNA from 1 species